ACAACACAUAGUGUUCUUAGUUGGUCCAAGACUUUUAGUCAACUAGUCAACCAACCAACAAUUCUAUACAACCUUCACACCUUUUUGACCCUUGCAGGCUGCACAGUUCACAUGCAUUUCAAACUAUCUUGUGGAAGUGUUGCAUGCAUCUCACAUGACCUAUUUCUUCUGGAUAUAAAAGAUAUGGGUGGGCUUCUUAUUCUCACAAAAAAUUAGAGUUGAAGGUCCAAGUACUAAGGAAGAUAUAGUGCAGAGCUGUAUGUGAGAAUUGGAAGAAAUUAAUCUCAGUUCCAUUGACAUGUACUUGUGUUUAAAUAUUGGGUUUAAUUUCUUCCAAUAUCUCACCUCCAGCUUUUGCAGCAGUUUAGUUUAAGUUUCCAGAUGAAAGUUACAAGAAAAUUCAGUGAAAUCAGAGUGCAAAGUUGUAGGUAAGAAUUGGAGGAAAUUAAACCCAACAUGCAUAAUAUCAGCUGCAAAGUGGGUUUAAUUUCCUCCAAUAUCUUAUCUCCAACUUACACUAAAGUAAAUGUCGAUAGCAUCAGACUACUGCUAGUAAUCAGAGUGCAAAGUUGUCGGUAAGAAUUGGAGGAAAUUAAACCCAACAUGCAUAAUGUCAGCUUAAAGGUGGGUUUAGUUUCCUCCAAUAUCUUAUCUCCAGCUUACACUAAAGUAAAUAUCUAUAGCAUCAGCUUACUGCUAAUAAUCAGAGUGCAAAGUUGUAGGUAAGAAUUGGAGUAAAUUAAACCCAAUAUGCACAAUGUCAGCUUGAAGGUGGGUUUAGUUUCCUCCAAUAUCUUAUCUCCAGCAUACGCUAAAGUACAUGUCUAUAGCAUCAGAUUUCUGCUAAUGAUCAGAGUGUAAAGUUGUAGGUGAGAAUUGGGGGAAGUUAAACCCAAUAUGCAUAAUGUUAGCAGCAAGAUGGGUUUAAUUUCCUCCAAUAUCUUAUCUCCAGCUUAUACUAAAGUAAAUUUCGAUAGCAUCAGAUUACUGCGAAUGAUCAGAGUGCAAAGUUGUAGGUGAGAAUUGGAGGAAGAAAAACUCAAUAUGCAUAAGGUCUGCUGCAAGAUGGGUUUAAUUUUCUCCAAUAUCUUAUCUCCAGCUUACGCUAAAGUAUAUGUCGAUAGCAUCAGAUUACUG
rnacentral:lncRNA from 1 species